rnacentral:antisense_RNA from 1 species
UACUACGUUGCUCAGGCUGGUCUCAAACUCCUGGGCUCAAGCCAUCCUCCUUGCCUUGACCUUGGGAUAUAGGCGCAACUCACCACACCCAGCCCCUAAGUUUUUCAAUGACCAGAAUUAAUCAAUUCUAUCCUUUCCUCCAAAAAGAUAAAAACCUUAGUCUGUUCUCACUUCAGUCCUCAUUCUUCUUCUCCUUGAAUUAAGCAUCCUUGAACUUCUCCUUGCAAUCCCAGAUCUUAGUUCUCUAUUAUUAUUAAUUUUUUAGUUAUACAUAAAAAUUACUUAAACUUCUCUGACUCAAAAAAAAACCUUCUCCAUGAUGUGAUUAUUAUGCACUGCAUGCCUAUAUCAAAAUAUUUCAUGUAUCCCAUAAAUAUAUACACCUACUAUGUACCCGCAAAAAUUAAAAAUUAAAAAAAUUUUUUAAAUUACUUAAACUUAACUAUAAGUUAUAAUGGCUGCUUUGCUUAUAAUUGCCCACUGGAUACCACAUUUUCCUAUUUUUUGGAUUUUUUUUUUGAGACAGAGUCUUACUCUGUCGCCCAGGCAUGAGUGCAGUGGCGCGAUCUCAGCUCACUACAAUCUCCGCCUCCCCGGUUCAAGUGAUUCUCCUUCCUCAGCCUUCCAAGUAGCUGGGAUUACAGGUAUGUGCCACCACACCUGGCUAAUUUUUGUAUUUUUAGUACAGACGAGGUUUCCUCAUGUUGACCGGGCUGGUCUUGAACACCUGACCUCAGGUGAUCCACCUGCCUUGGCCUCCCAAAGUGCUGGGAUUAUAGGUGUGAGUUUCUGUGUGCGACCUAACUUUUUUCUUAGAACUUUGAUUACAGCCGUGAGCCACUGCACCCAGCGCCUGGAUUCUCUUAGUCUUAUUAGGUUGCAAUCUUUGAGCAAUUCUUUCAGAGAGCAAAUCUGAAUGUGACAAACUUCCUGAGGUUUUGUAUACCCCCAGGUAUUUUAUUUCGACCUUUCAUUUGAAUAGUAAUUUGGCUGAGUAGAGAGUACAGGACUUGGGUUCAAAAUAACGUGUUUUUGUUUGUUUGUUUUUUGUUUUGUUUUUUGAGAUGGAGUUUUGCUCUUGUUGCCCAGGCUAGAGUCCAAUGGCGCGAUCUCGGCUCACUGCAACCUCCGCCUACCGGGUUCAAGCAAUUCUCCUGCCUCAGCCUCCCAAAUAGCUGGGAUUGCAGAUGGAGUCUCUGUUGCCCGGGCUGGAGUACAGUGGCGCAAUCUCGGCUCACCACAACCUCCACCCUCCGGGUUCAAGCGAUUCUCCUGCCUCAGCCUCCCGAGUAGCUGGGACUACAGGCGCACGCCACCAUGCCCGGCUAAUUUUUGUAUUUUUAGUAGAGACGGGGUUUCACUAUGUUGGCCAGGCUGGUCUCGAACUCCUGCCCUCGUGAUCUGCCCGCCUUGGCUUCCCAAAAUGCUGGGAUUACAGGUGGGGGCCACCGUGCCCGGCCUAACAGCCUGUUCUUAUUUCACGAAUAUAAUGUUCUGUCUAAUCUCCAAGGAUUGUUUUAACAUCUGUUUGCUUUGUGAAAUGUUUGCAUGGGGAGUUGCAUGUUUAUUGAGUUUUGUACUUUUCUUGAGAUUAAUUUUCCUCAAAUGCUUGGCAAUUUAAAUUUUGGGCUCAUAUUUCAAAAUUCCUAUUCUCCUGUCUGUUGAACCAGGUUCUGAUGACAUGAGUUUGCCUCUGAUAACCACAGCAGAGGAAACACAGGGCAGUGUGAGGAAGGCUGAGUCCUCUCAGUCAGGAGGGCCUUUCUAGCCCACCUAGAAAUAGUGCAGAUUUCUUGCUACCCAGGGUCUUGCUGUGUCUCUUGUCACCAGUGCUCUGGCCUGUGGGCACACACUCACUGUGACACAGUUUAGCAUGAGAGAGGUGGGGAAGGGGGCGAAGGCAGCUGGCUGAUCCUCCAAAAGCCCCCCAGAUAAUCACCCUGACUCCUGCCCCAGGGCUCCUUCCUGUUCCCUAUUUCCAUAAAGGGCAGAGCUUUCUCAGAACUCACAGCCACCUUCACAGAAGUCAUCUCCUAUAGAUUUUUUAGUUUGUUUGUUUUUUGAGACGGAGUCUCACUCUGUCCCCCAGGCUGGAGUGCAGUGGCAAGAUUUCGGCUCACUGAAACCUCCGCCUCCUGGGUUCAGCAAUUUUCCUGCCUCAGCCUCCCGAGUAGCUGGAUGACUACAGGUGUGAGCCACCAUGUCUGGCUAAUUUUUGUAUUUUUAAUAGAGAUGGGGU